rnacentral:rRNA from 1 species
CAAUAGCGUAUAUUAAAGUUGUUGCGGUAAAAAAGCUCGUAGUUGGAUUUCUGUUGAGAGCGACCGGUCCAUACCAUGUAUGCGUAUCUGGCUUGCUCUCGGCAUCCUCUCGAUAGACGUUACUGCGCUUGAUUGCGUGGUGCGGAUCUCGGGACUUUUACUUUGAGGAAAUUAGAGUGUUCACGGCAGGCUUUCGCCAGAAUACAUUAGCAUGGAAUAAUACUAUAGGAUCUUGGUUCUAUUUUGUUGGUUUCUAGAAUUGAGAUAAUGAUUAAUGGGGACAAUUGGGGGCAUUCGUAUCAACACGUCAGAGGUGGAAUUCUUGGAUUGUGUUGCGACGAACUACUGCGAAAGCAUUUGCCAAGGAUGUUUUCAUUGA